rnacentral:tRNA from 2 species
GCGGGUGUGGCGGAACUGGUAGACGCACUGGAUUUAGGUUCCAGCGCCGCAAGGCGUGGAGGUUCGACUCCUCUCACCCGCACCA